CGUUUUUUGAAGAUAAUAUAAAAUAUGAUCUGCUCAAUGAAUUAAAUAUAUUAAAUAGCCGCAGUAUUUUGACUGUGCAAAGGUAGCAUAAUAAUUAGUUUUUUAAUUGAAGGCUGGAAUGAAAGAUUGGACAAAAUAAAAACUGUCUUUAAUUAAUUUUUUUUUUGAAAUUAAUUUUUAAGUUAAAAAGCUUAAAUUAUAUUAAAGGACGAGAAGACCCUAUAGAGUUUUAUAUUUAUUAUAAUUUAAAUUUUUAAUUUAUUUUUUAAAUUAUUUUAAAUAUUUUAUUGGGGUGAUAAAUAAAUUUAUUUAACUUUUUUAUAAAAUAUUUACAUAAAUUAGUGAAUUUUUGAUCCUAAUUUUUAGAUUAUUAGAUUAAAUUACCUUAGGGAUAACAGCAUAAUUUUUUUUAAAGUUCUUAUUGGUAAAAAAGAUUGUGACCUCGAUGUUGGAUUAAAAUUUAUUUUAGGUGUAGAAGCUUAAUAAUUAGAUCUGUUCGAUCUUUAAAAUUUUACA
rnacentral:rRNA from 1 species